AUUGAACGCUGGCGGCAUGCCUAACACAUGCAAGUCGCACGCGAAAGAGGGGCAACCCUUGAGUAGAGUGGCGGACGGGUGAGUAACGCGUAGGAAUAUACCUGGCAGUGGGGGACAACCCGGUGAAAACCGGGCUCAUACCGCAUCUGGUCCAAGGAUGAAAGCAGGGGAACGCAAGGCCUUGCGCAAUCAGAUUAGCCUGCGUCGGAUUAGCUAGUUGGUGAGGUAAUGGCUCACCAAGGCAACGAUCCGUAGCUGGUUUGAGAGAACGACCAGCCACACUGGGACUGAGACACGGCCCAGACUCCUACGGGAGGCAGCAGUGGGGAAUAUUGGACAAUGGGGGCAACCCUGAUCCAGCAAUGCCGCGUGUGUGAAGAAGGCCUUCGGGUUGUAAAGCACUUUCGGUGGGGACAAACGUGGCGAGGCUAACAUCCUCGUCCUUGAUGGUACCCAAAGAAGAAGCACCGGCUAACUCUGUGCCAGCAGCCGCCGUAA
rnacentral:rRNA from 1 species